GCCAAAUAAAAAAUGUUUGCACCACACACUUGUUACAAACAGCCAAGAUGUUAUUCAAGACUAUUGCAAAAGAGGAGAGGGAUUGAACUCAACUCCUAAUUAUUGCAAAGACAGCUGGAGAUUUAUACCCAAUGAGGAGAGUGAGGAGGUCAGUGGAUCAACAAUUGUGUAUCAGUAUCAUCAUUACCUGGUAGAAAGAAGAGUCCAUUAGACAACUCUUCAAAGAAUAACACAGGAGAAAGACUCUUACCAAGGGACUGUGAGCCUGAAGGAACUCACUUUUCCUGCUCUGUUAUUUUGCUUCUUUAUUAUACAGAAGAAACAGGACAUCUUUGCUCAAUCAACAUUAGAAACAGAAGCAGUUCGCCAAGUAGCAAGUGAAAGGUGUUAUAAGCAGGCAAGGAACAGUGGGGAUUGAACUUCUGGGGAAUCUCUGGGCUUCCUGAUAUUCUGAGUCCUUGUGAAUUUUCCUUUUUCUCUUUUCUUUUCUUUUUUUUUUUUUUUAAGAUAUAGGGUCUCCCUUUGUCAUCCAGGCUGGAGUGCAGUGGCAAGACCAUAGCUCACUGCAGCCUCAAGCUCCUGUACUCAAGUGAUCCUCCUGCCUCAGCCAAGAAGCUGCGACCACAGAUAAAGAGGACUGCCUGAAA
rnacentral:lncRNA from 1 species